rnacentral:sRNA from 1 species
UGAAUUUGGAUUAAAAUUGGUUGAGGUAUUCGCAGUUUCGUGAGACACGUUUUCUCAAACGCGAAUUAGGACCAGCGAAGAUUGAAACUGAGAUCGUGGUCUCGUCUGUUUUCCGAUCGGCACGAGAUUUUGUGGGCAGCUUUGUGACGUCUGCAGCUAGGUUUUCACCGGAGAGAUUGAAUAGUUAACGGUUAGCUUGUAUUUUAGGGUUUCGUCUUUGAGACGGUUUGUUUCUGGUUUUUCCUGUCCAGUUUGUUUCAAGGUUGCUUUUGGUUGUGGACUUGUUGCAGGACGUUUCUGGACUGUUUCAGACGCAAGGAAAGUCUCUCCUGGGUUUAAUUGCUAUUAGAAUCAAUUUGUUAAGGUGAGUGCGUGACCAUGAGCUUAUCUGAGCGAUUGGGUUGUGUGAUGAUAUGUAGGUGUGGUGAAUGUGUUUUGGGUGAAUUGUUCAAUGACUGGUUUGUUUGUAUUGUAUUCGUGAUUAUACCUUUUUAUUUGCUUGUGUGUAUAGCUCGUAGAUGGGAGGAUCGCCUCACUAAGUAUUUAUGAUAAUACUUACGCAUCUCAUUGUGUUGUUGAUGCAGGUAAAGAUAAAGUGUGAUUGUGGAAUCAUGGCAAGGAAGAGAGGAUGAUCUAGGAACUCGUUUGUUUUAUGUAUGGUGUUUUUGGUUAUUGGAACCCGGUUAGGAUUGUCAGUUAUUCUUGGUUUUGUUGAUCGAAUUAUUUAUUUAUUCAUAAAAUAGUAUUUCUGACUUGCGGUUUAAUUAUUAUGUUAUUGGUUGGUUUAAUUAGAUAUUUAUGGAAAUAUUUAAUUAUAUUUU